CAAUGUGAGGGCGAUCUGGCUGUGACAUCUGUCACCCCAUUGAUCGCCAGGGUUGAUUCGGCUGAUCUGGCUGGCUAGGCGGGUGUCCCCUUCCUCCCUCACCGCUCCAUGUGCGUCCCUCCCGAAGCUGCGCGUGGAAGAGGACGACCAUCCCAGAUAGAAGGAGUGUACCGUUCUUCGGUCAAGGGUAUACGAUAGCUGCGCUCCCCUGCUAGAACCUCCAAGCAAGCUCAAGGACCCUCUGCUUUCUAUGGCAUAAGGAGCCCAAUGGCAUGCAGAAU